GGUCCUGGAAGAGCCCACCCAGGAGGAGACGGCCCUGCAUGACCAGAUCCAGCCCACCGUCGUCCACCCGCCGGACCAGGAGAUCAUGGAGUUGAUGAGGGUCUAUCAGAUCGGUCUCCUGGUGCAGUUCCCUUUCUCCUCAAGUCUCCAGCGCAUGAGCGUCGUGACCCGCACCCUGGGCGAGAAGCGGCUGGUGGCGUAUAUGAAGGGGGCCCCAGAGACGGUGG